AAAAUAAAGAAGAGGAAGUCACAGAGGAUGCAAAGGACGGGGAGUGUGCCACAGAGGAAGCAAAGGACGAUGAGUUCGCAGCCUAUAAGCGGGCUGUUAUUGGACGUGAUGGUGUGGGAGAUCUUGAUCCGGCUACCCGUGGAGUCCCUGGUGAGGUUUAAGUUGGUUAGCAAGGCCUGGUACGCUAUCAUCUCUGACCCUGUUUUUGUUCGUGCGCACCUCCACUGCUCCAAACAGAAACAACAACGCAACCCAUCUUCCUUCCUCGUCACCCCCCACAUUUAUCUGGAACCAAACCCUUUGGGUCUUUUCUCCACCAACAUCCGUUUCUACCUGUGGUCUAUACAACAAGAUGACAUGAGUAGGAGCAGUAGUAGUGCAACACUCCUUUAUGGGAGGCAGUUCCCCACAGGCGAGUUCGCACUGGUGUCCCAAAUGUCACACUGUGAUGGGUUGGUGUUGCUCCCCACAAACACCCACGCUUAUGUCUUCAACCCAGCCACUAGAGAUGCUGUUGCGCUCCCCAAGUGCCACCGCAAUAUGUUGCAGCACUCCACGUUUCGCCUUGAUGUUUCCACUGGAACAUAUAAGGUUGCACGGUCUUUCUACCGUUCCUGUGAUCACAGUUCUGUUGCAAUGGGGAUGGAGGUCUUCACCAUUAAUGGUGACGAGGGCAACUGGAGGGAAACCUUGCUGGAUCCACCAUACCCUAUUGUGUGUCCACAAACUGCCAUACACUGCAAGGGUUCCCUAUUCUAUUUAAUAGAUAUGAAAAAUCAUCAAUGUCCCCCGCGGGCGCUGCUUCGUUUCUGCCUUCAAGAUGAAACAUUUGGUAUCACUCCAUUGCUUAACAACGUGUACCCUACAGUUGAAGAUGAUGAUAUUGUUCUCCAUGAGCUUGACGGGGAAUUAUGUGCUACUUUCUUUAGCAAGUCUGUGCAACAAGUAUUGGUCUGGAUGGCAAGAGAUAUUGUGAAUCCAGAGUGGGAUUGCCAUUAUGUAAUCAAUGUCUCAGAUCACUGCUGUCCAGUGGCCUCACUUAGCAUCGCUGCUGGGUCUCUCUUACGACGAGGUCAUUGCCUAAUCCGUUAUUACAUGAAAGCUCAUGGUGUAAAAGAAGAGGAUAUAUUUGAUAUGGAUGACCUAAGGUUCCUUGGGCCGAGUGAAGACACCUUGGGCCAUGCAUGGGAAAAUUUAUGUGUGUUUGAGCUACUGUAUUACACUGCAAGCCUUGUUUCUAUUACUCCUAAGGCGAGCUUACAAGCCUCAUAA
rnacentral:rRNA from 1 species